AAAGCUAAUUUUUUGUUUAUGGCUGACCGGAUCAUUAUGUUACAAUCAGUUCUCUCCUCCAUCCAUGCGUCUACUAUGCAAAUGUGUUUACUUCCUAUUUCUCUUUGUAAUGAAAUGGAGAGAAUUGUAGGAAUUUUAUUUGGAAAGGUUUAGAUAGGUCCAAUCGAGUUCACCUUGUGAAUUGGCAAACAAUUCAGCAUCCCCGCGUCAAUAGGGGCUUAGGGGUCCAUAAUAUGAGGAUUAUGAAUA
rnacentral:lncRNA from 1 species